AUUGAACGCUGGCGGCAUGCCUUACACAUGCAAGUCGAACGGCAGCACGGGAGCAAUCCUGGUGGCGAGUGGCGAACGGGUGAGUAAUAUAUCGGAACGUGCCCAGUAGUGGGGGAUAACUGCUCGAAAGAGCAGCUAAUACCGCAUACGACCUGAGGGUGAAAGCGGGGGAUCGCAAGACCUCGCGCUAUUGGAGCGGCCGAUAUCAGAUUAGCUAGUUGGUGGGGUAAAAGCUCACCAAGGCGACGAUCUGUAGCUGGUCUGAGAGGACGACCAGCCACACUGGGACUGAGACACGGCCCAGACUCCUACGGGAGGCAGCAGUGGGGAAUUUUGGACAAUGGGCGCAAGCCUGAUCCAGCCAUGCCGCGUGCGGGAAGAAGGCCUUCGGGUUGUAAACCGCUUUUGUCAGGGAAGAAACGGCUCCUACUAAUACUGGGGGCUAAUGACGGUACCUGAAGAAUAAGCACCGGCUAACUACGUGCCAGCCGCCGCCGUAA
rnacentral:rRNA from 1 species